rnacentral:sRNA from 1 species
GUGUGCAGCCCGUACACCCCGGCAUCUGAGCACGCCGUCCAUACCCACUUGGCGACCGUGCGCUACGUGCUGUCAGCG